rnacentral:rRNA from 1 species
GAUGAACGCUGGCGACGUGGAUUAGGCAUGCAAGUCGAAUGGGUUUAGACCCAUGGCAGACGAGGUAGUAACACGUAGGAAUCUACCCCAGAGUCGAGGAUAAUCGGUCGAAAGGCCGGAUAAUACUCGAUAGUCUCUUUUGAGUAAAGAUUUAUCGCUCUGGGAGGAGCCUGCGGAGUAUCAGCUUGUUGGUGAGGUAAAAGCUCACCAAGGCUACGACGCUUAGGGGAGGUGAGAGCCUGACCCCCACCGAUGGUACUGAGACACGGACCAUACACCUACGGGUGGCCGCAGUCGAGAAUCUUCCACAAUGGACGAAAGUCUGAUGGAGCGACGUCGCGUGAUGGAUGAAGCCUUUCGGGGUGUAAACAUCUUUUAUGAGGGAGGAAGUUUAUUGACGUUACCUCAUGAAUAAGGGGCUGCUAAAUUCG